rnacentral:rRNA from 1 species
UACGUAGGGUGCGAGCGUUAAUCGGAUUUACUGGGCGUAAAGGGCGCGUAGGCGGCCACCGCAAAUCAAUUGUGAAAUCUCCGGGCUUAACUCGGAAAGGUCAACUGAUACUGCGGGGCUAGAGUGCGGAAGGGGCAACUGGAAUUCUCGGUGUAGCGGUGAAAUGCGUAGAUAUCGAGAGGAACACCUGCGGCGAAGGCGGGUUGCUGGGCCGACACUGACGCUGAUGCGCGAAAGCCAGGGGAGCGAACGGG